rnacentral:lncRNA from 1 species
GUGAGAAGCAAGAUGAAGUUAGGAUGCAUACAUUCAUGUGGAGCCUUCAUGAAAACAUAAACAUGUCGUCUCAAGUUUUGCCAUCGUCAAAAAGGGGGAGUAUGUGAGUGCAACUUUCCAUUAAAUGUAAUUUGCAUGAUGUCAAAACUAGGUUACUUUAGCGUUAAUGUAUAUUGGACGAUAUCUCUCAAUGUGCAUCUUAAUAUUAGGAAGCAUAAAAU